GGCUAGUGUUUCAAUCCAGCCUUAUUUUGAUAGUGUCUGAAUUUGUCACUAUUAGUAGUUUGUUUGUUUUUACUAUCUGUGUUUGUUUAGGUUUUCCCAAGUUUACCAGUUUGUUGGCUCAUCACUCUUCUUCCAUCUCACCCCUCCUUCAGAAUUCAAUUUCCUGAAGUAUAUCCUGUAGUAGUCCUUUAAGUGAACUGUUGUGUGUGGGGGGAAGGUAGUCUUUGUUUUAAAAAAUGUCUAUUUUCCACUUACUCUUUAAUGAAGAUUGUGCAAGGAGUACAAUUCUUGUCUGAGAGCUAUUUUCUCUUAGCACUUUGAAGACAUUCUUCACGGUCUUCUGGCCUCUAGUGUUGCUGUUGAGAGUCGGCUGUCUAAUUGCCAAUACUUUCUGGGUGAUCUCUUUUUCUUUUUUUCUUUCUCUGGUUGCCUUUGAGAUUUUUCUCUUUAUUUUUGUUACUUUACAGUUUCCCUACAAUGCAUCUUGCUAGAGAUGUCUGUUUAUCUAACCUCCCCGGACUCCUGCCGUCUUCAUGGCGAGGAUUCGUAUCUUUCAUAACUUCUGGAACGUUCCCAGCUGCUACUAUUUAGGACUAGAGGAUCUCCUGGAUUUUACCAUGACAGCACUGGCACCCAUGAAACAGUCAUCAGAGAUGGAGCCAUGUGCUGCUGUAAGUCUCUACCUGAAUUCAUGGGAUGGGAAAGUUGUAUGGGAAUGCUCCUGGGCACCCA